GUCAGAUUCAAACGGCUGCGGUGUUGAUUUCGCUGAUUAUUGAAGUCAGGCGAGCAGCGGAGCUAUGCAGGCCGGACCAGCGGACCGGAGGAGACAGCCUGGCCGCGGCAGGCGUGGGGAGACCGGGCAGGGCCGAACAGAGCCGCGGGGGAUUCAUCCGAGAAGCGGGAGAAGCUCCGAGGAGGAGAUGGAGAGAUUGAAAGAGCUCAUCGCCGCCAUGCAACAGAAAGAGAAGCAGGCAGGAGAGGGAGGAAGAAGAGCGGAAAGGGAAGGAAAGGAAGACGAGG